GUUGAGGUAAAGAUCAAACUGCGUCUAAUUUAGCAAAUCUAUAAUUCUACUUGUAGACAAAUCAUUUAGUAACCAAAAAAAGUAUCUCGCACAGAUCAGAAUACAUACAAUAGAACCACUUGUGGAUUGAGGCAUACUAGACUGACACCAUUGCACCAAGUCAUUACCCUUGCUCCACAAUCUCUCUUGUAAAUGGAAAACUUAAAUACUAUUG
rnacentral:misc_RNA from 1 species